GGAGUAUGGGCCGUGUCUCAGUCCCAUUGUGGCCGGUCACCCUCUCAGGUCGGCUACACAUCCUUGCCUUGGUGGGCUGUUAUCUCACCAACUAGCUAAUGUGCCGCAGGUCCAUCUAAGAGUGGUGCAAACGCACCUUUCAAGCGGAGACGAUGCCGUCUCCGUUGUUAUCCGGUAUUAGCCGAACUUUCGCUCGAGUAUCCCAGUCUCAAAGGCAGGUUACCUACGUGUUACUCACCCGUUCGCCGCUCGGUAGCAAGCUACCUCGCUCGACUUGCAUGUAUUAGGCACGCCGCCAGCGUUCAUC
rnacentral:rRNA from 1 species